UUGAUCCUGGCUCAGUAUGAACGCUGGCGGCAGGCCUAACACAUGCAAGUCGAGCGGAAACGAGAAGUAGCUUGCUACUUCGGCGUCGAGCGGCGGACGGGUGAGUAAUGCAUAGGAAGUUGCCCAGUAGAGGGGGAUAACCAUUGGAAACGAUGGCUAAUACCGCAUAACCUCUUCGGAGCAAAGCGGGGGACCUUCGGGCCUCGCGCUACUGGAUACGCCUAUGUGGGAUUAGCUAGUUGGUGAGGUAAUGGCUCACCAAGGCGACGAUCCCUAGCUGGUCUGAGAGGAUGAUCAGCCACACUGGGACUGAGACACGGCCCAGACUCCUACGGGAGGCAGCAGUGGGGAAUAUUGCACAAUGGGCGAAAGCCUGAUGCAGCCAUGCCGCGUGUAUGAAGAAGGCCUUCGGGUUGUAAAGUACUUUCAGUUGUGAGGAAGGUUUCGUCGUUAAUAGCGGCGUUGCUUGACGUUAGCAACAGAAGAAGCACCGGCUAACUCCGUGCCAGCAG
rnacentral:rRNA from 1 species